rnacentral:rRNA from 1 species
GACGAACGCUGGCGGCGUGCUUAACACAUGCAAGUCGAACGGAAAGGCCCUGCUUUUGUUGGGUGCUCGAGUGGCGAACGGGUGAGUAACACGUGAGUAACCUGCCCUUGACUUUGGGAUAACUUCAGGAAACUGGGGCUAAUACCGGAUAGGAGAUCCUGCUGCAUGGUGGGGGUUGGAAAGUUGCGGCGGUUGGGGAUGGACUCGCGGCUUAUCAGCUUGUUGGUGGGGUAGUGGCUUACCAAGGCUUUGACGGGUAGCCGGCCUGAGCGGGUGACCGGCCACAUGGGGACUGAGAUACGGCCCAGACGGCUACGUGAGGCAGCAGGGGGAAAUAUUGCACAGUGGGCGGAAGCGUAAUGCAGCAGCGCCGCGUGCGGGAUGACGGCCUGCGGGUUGUAAACCGCUUUCGCCUGUGACGAAGCGUGAGUGACGGUAAUGGAUAAAGAAGCACCGGCUAACUACGUG